rnacentral:rRNA from 1 species
UACGUAGGGUGCAAGCGUUAUCCGGAAUUAUUGGGCGUAAAGAGCUCGUAGGCGGUUUGUCGCGUCUGCUGUGAAAAUCCGGGGCUCAACCCCGGACUUGCAGUGGGUACGGGCAGACUAGAGUGUGGUAGGGGAGACUGGAAUUCCUGGUGUAGCGGUGAAAUGCGCAGAUAUCAGGAGGAACACCGAUGGCGAAGGCAGGUCUCUGGGCCACUACUGACGCUGAGAAGCGAAAGCAUGGGGAGCGAACAGG